UACGAAGGGGGCUAGCGUUGUUCGGAAUUACUGGGCGUAAAGCGCACGUAGGCGGAUAUUUAAGUCAGGGGUGAAAUCCCAGAGCUCAACUCUGGAACUGCCUUUGAUACUGGGUAUCUUGAGUAUGGAAGAGGUAAGCGGAAUUCCGAGUGUAGAGGUGAAAUUCGUAGAUAUUCGGAGGAACACCAGUGGCGAAGGCGGCUUACUGGUCCAUUACUGACGCUGAGGUGCGAAAGCGUGGGGAGCAAACAGG
rnacentral:rRNA from 1 species